rnacentral:rRNA from 1 species
AUUGAACGCUGGCAGCAUGCUUAACACAUGCAAGUCGAACGGUAACAGGCCCUUCGGGAUGCUGACGAGUGGCGGACGGGUGAGUAACGCUUAGGAAUCUACCUAGUAGUGGGGGAUAACCCGGGGAAACUCGGGCUAAUACCGCGUACGCCCUACGGGGAAAGCGGGGACUUUCGGGCCUCGCGCUAUUAGAUGAGCCUAAGUCCGAUUAGCUAGUUGGUAGGGUAAUGGCCUACCAAGGCGACGAUCGGAGCUGGUCUGAGAGGACGACCAGCCACACUGGGACUGAGACACGGCCCAGACUCCUACGGGAGGCAGCA